rnacentral:rRNA from 1 species
UACGUAGGGCGCAAGGCGUUGUCCGGAAUUAUUGGGCGUAAAGAGCGUGUAGGCGGCCCGAUUAGUCCGCUGUGAAAGUCCAGGGCUCAACCCUGGAAUGCCGGUGGAUACUGUCGGGCUAGAGUCCGGAAGGGGCGAGUGGAAUUCCUGGUGUAGCGGUGAAAUGCGCAGAUAUCAGGAGGAACACCAAUGGCGAAGGCAGCUCGCUGGGACGUGACUGACGCUGAGACGCGAAAGCGUGGGGAGCAAACAGG